rnacentral:rRNA from 10 species
GGGUGCGAUCAUACCAACACUAAUGCACCGGAUCCCAUCAGAACUCCGCAGUUAAGCGUGUUUGGGCGAGAGUAGUACUAGGAUGGGUGACCUCCUGGGAAGUCCUCGUGUUGCACCCCU